rnacentral:tRNA from 1 species
GCCUGGCUGGCUCAGUUGAAAGAGCAUGGGACUCCUGAUCUCGGGGCUGUGAGUUCCAGCCUCACGUGGGGUA